AACGAACGCUGGCGGCAGGCCUAACACAUGCAAGUCGAGCGCGCCCUUCGGGGUGAGCGGCGGACGGGUGUGUAACGCGUGGGAACGUGCCCUUUUCUACGGAAUAGCCUCGGGAAACUGAGAGUAAUACCGUAUACGCCCUAUGGGGGGAUGAUAUAUGGGAAAAGGAUCGGCCCGCGUUGGAUUAGGUAGUUGGUGGGGUAAUGGCCUACCAAGCCGACGAUUCAUAGCUUGUUUGAGAGGAUGAUCACCGACACUGGGAGUGAGACACGGCCGGGACUCCUACGCGAUGGAGCAGUGGCGAAUCGUACAACAUGGGGGCAACGAUGAUCUAGCCAUGCCGGGUAAGUGAUGAUGGCCGGAAGGUAGUAAAGCGCUAGCAGCUGGGAAGAUCUUGACGGUACCAGCAGAAGAAGCCCCGGCUAACUACGUG
rnacentral:rRNA from 1 species